CUCCGCCGGUAGGAUCCCCUCCUCCCCAUGUGUCCCGAUAUUUUCUUUAUCCCAUCUGGUCACCCUAAUCCUAGGAAGCCUGGACAUUGCUCCCUCUAAAGGUCAUCAUUGCUGCUCUGUGAAUUAGCAGUAGGGUUGGUGGUCACUCAAGUAAUGUGUGAGGUAUUCCCCACCCUCUGGAAGUUCAUUCACACAGCUUCUGACAGUGCUCCCAGCUGCCUCCAGUGCAGCACUUUUAGGAAUGCUUACACAGCCACUAGUCCAUAAAUAUAUCUGUACUCCUCCACUGCCUAGAAGACUCAGCAAAAGAAAAAGAAAAAAAGUGCCCACAUUUCAGAGGAUUCUUGGGGAGAAAGAAAAUGUGGGUUGAUAUUCCAGUUGAGCUAUUCACUGAAACUAGAUUUUAAAGUACAAAAUUCCAGAUCUUUAUUAUCCAAAGGGUAAUAGCUUUGAGAAGUCCUGAAAAUGUGAAAGAGAUGGAAGUGGAGGGACUGAUUAUGCAUUUCUAAUCUCAAGCCAAUGUAACAAAGAGGGUGAAUAGGCUGUUAAAAAAAACAAACCUAGGAGACAGGCUGCUGAAGAGACAUGACUCAUUGUUGAUUCAGAAGCAAUAUCAUUAGCCUGGAGCUAAAAGAAAUAAAAUGAGGAGGUAGAGCACUUGACGGAAAUAAUAUUCUCAUUUGUUUAAUUUGAUAUUUAAAAGAUAUUGCCACCAGCUAGUCUAAACUGUGGCAGCCUGGAGAAUGUAAAGAAUUCUGCUUUGAAAAUAUGGUUCAGUAUGUUCAAAGAUGUGUAUGUUUUUUAUUCCUAGGUGUGUCAUGGUCAUUGCUUUAGGUGAUGUAAAACGAAGAGUUACAACCAGUUUUCUCAUUAGGAGGACAGGAAAUAAGGUGAUAAAAGGGCUGUUUCUGAAGGUCCAGCAGCAGCACUGUGCUAUCCAGGAAACCUCCAGAGCUACAGAUCCCUGGGCCUGGUGGGCUGCUGGGCAUGAGUGCGAUAGCAGCUCUGAAAAGGGCUGGAAUUGAAGGGGAGAAGAGGAGAAUGCCUUAUGAACAGACAGGAGGACAAAGGGAGUUUGUUCUUUUAAGGGCUUGAUCCUGUGGUGCUGAGUGCUGAAGCUGAGAUAACUCAGCACCACACAAGAUUCACUCAGCACCUUGCAAAAUUGGGCCCUACACACUUACCUCUGAUUAUUGGGGUAAUGCUUUCUUUUCCUAGGGAAAGGUAAAACCUACCCCAUGAAGCAGGAAUUAUUAUUAAUAAUAAACGAUAACAUAUAGCACA
rnacentral:lncRNA from 1 species